UUAAGAUACAAAGGGCAUACGGUGGAUGCCUUGGCGAUAUCAGCCGACGAAGGACGCGAUCAGCUGCGAAAAGCUGCGGUGAGCCGCAAGUAGGCGUUAACCCGCAGAUAUCCGAAUGGAGCAAUCCGGCAGCAGCAGUGCUGUCAUCCUUAUUCGACCGAAUAGGGAAGGGAACCCGGUGAACUGAAACAUCUAAGUAGCCGGAGGAAAAGAAAUCAAACGAGAUACCCCAAGUAGCGGCGAGCGAACGGGGCAGACGCCCAAACCGAUAAAGGAAACUUUAACGGGGUAGAGGACCCGGUAACAAUGCAACGAAUCUAGCCGAAGAGUACUGGAACGUACUGCCGAAGACGGUGACAGCCCGGUAGGCGAAAGAGGAAGGGCAGGACUGGGAAUCCGGAGUACCGCGGGACACGAGAAACCCCGCGGGAAGCAGGGGGGACCACCCUCCAAGGCAAAACACUGAUAUCGACCGAUAGCGCAUAGUACCGUGAGGGAAAGGUGAAAAGCACCCCGGGAGGGGAGUGAAAGAGAACCUGAAACCGUAUGUCUACAAACAGUCGAAGCACGUUAUGCAUCGUGCGACGGCGUGCCUAUUGAAGAAUGAACCGGCGAGUUACUAGUGCUGGCGAGGUUAAGGAGGAAAUCCGGAGCCGCAGCGAAAGCGAGUCUGAACAGGGCGUAAGUCAGUAUGAGUAGACCCGAAACCACAGUGAUCUACCCAUGUCCAGAUUGAAACACAGGUAAAAUUGUGUGGAGGAUCGAACCUAUGAGUGUUGAAAAACUUUAGGAUGAGAUGUGGGUAGGGGUGAAAUUCCAAUCGAACGUGGAGAUAGCUGGUUCUCCCCGAAAUAUCUUUAGGGAUAGCCUUAAGGAGAGACUAUAGGCGGUAGAGCACUGAUCGGGCUAGGGACCAAACCGGUUACCGAACCUAGUCAAACUACGAAUGGCUAUAGUUAUACUUAGGAGUCAGACUGCGAGUGAUAAGAUCCGUAGUCAAGAGGGAAACAGCCCAGACCAUCAGCUAAGGUCCCCAAUGCCGUGCUAAGUGGGAAAGGAUGUAGCAUUUCAUAAACAACCAGGAUGUUGGCUUAGAAGCAGCCAUCAUUGAAAGAGUGCGUAAUAGCUCACUGGUCGAGAGACGCUGCGCCGAAAAUACCCGGGGCUCAAGCACGGAACCGAAGCUAUGGCAUGCAUAAGCAUGGGUAGGGGAGCGUUCUGCAUAGGUAGAAGCAUGACCGUAAGGACAUGUGGACAGUGCAGAAGUGAGAAUGCCGGUAUGAGUAUCGAAAAGAAUGGUGAGAAUCCAUUCCACCGAAAGCCUAAGGGUUCCUGAGCAACGAUCGUCGGCUCAGGGUAAGUCGGGACCUAAGCCGAGGCGAAGACGCAUAGGCGAUGGACAACAGGUUGAAAUUCCUGUACUGACGUUAUUUGUUUGAGCGAUGGAGUGACACAGGAAGGUACAGCAGCACGCGACUGGAAGAGCGUGUCUAAGCGCGUACGUUGGUAACGAGGCAAACCCCGUUACCUAAAAGCGGAGGCGUGAUGGGGAGACAUUGGAAACAAUGGGGAACUGCUGGAUCCUCGACUGUCGAGAAAAGCUUCUAGUGAGAAUGAUGUCACCCGUACCAAAACCGACACAGGUAGGCGAGAAGAGAAUUCUAAGGUGCGCGGGAAAACCCUACGUUAAGGAACUCGGCAAAAUGCAUCCGUAACUUCGGGAAAAGGAUGACCUUCGGUACGUAACGACCGGCAGCGGUCCUAGCGGAAGAAGGUGACACAAGAGAGGCCCAAGCGACUGUUUACCAAAAACACAGGUGCCUGCGAAAGCGAAAGCUGAAGUAUAGGUGCUGACGCCUGCCCGGUGCUGGAAGGUUAAGAGGAGAGGUUAGCGCAAGCGAAGCUUUGAAUUGAAGCCCCAGUAAACGGCGGCCGUAACUAUAACGGUCCUAAGGUAGCGAAAUUCCUUGUCGGGUAAGUUCCGACCCGCACGAAAGGCGUAACGAUUUGGGCACUGUCUCAACGAGGGACCCGGUGAAAUUGAAGUACCUGUGAAGAUGCAGGUUACCCGCGACUGGACAGAAAGACCCCAUGGAGC
rnacentral:rRNA from 1 species